rnacentral:rRNA from 1 species
GACGAACGCUGGCGGCGUGCUUAACACAUGCAAGUCGAACGAAGUGGCGAACGGGUGAGUAAUACGUGGGUACCCUGCCCUCCUUUUUGGGAUAAGCCUUGGAAACGGGGUCUAAUACCGAAUAAAGGGGGAUGGGCUGGGGUCCUAUCAGCUGGUUGGUGGGGUGAGGGCCUACCAAGGCGGGGAGGGGUGGCCGGCCUGAGGGGGUGACCGGCCACAUUGGGACGGGGAUACGGCCAAGAGUCGUAGGGGGGGGGGAAGUGGGGGAUAUGGCGCAAGGGGCGAAGGCCUGAGGAGGGGACGCGGCGUGGGGGAUGAAGGCUUUCGGGUUGUAAACCUCUUUCGCUAUCGAACGGGUAGGUGGAGAAGAAGCGCCGGCUAACUACGUGCCAGCAGCCGCGGUAAUUC